UGUGCUCUUUUAAGUCACACAAGGCUCUUGGAAUACAUGUGAGACAACAUGGAUUUUGCUACGGUGAAAAAGUGAAUUUUAGAGUCAGAUGUCUGCUAUGUGCAUUUAGUCAACUUGCAAAUCAUAAACAAUACUUUUGUCAUCUUAACACUCAUUUAAAAAACAAGGAAACUGUCACCUGCCCAUUUAAUGGUUGUAAUUUUAAGUCAAAAGUUUAUUCCAGUUUUACCUCUCACAGAAGUCGAUAUCAUGCCUUGGAUUUUUUACAAAAUUUUAAAGCAGAGCUUCUUUAUGGCCCACCACAUGGUGAAAACUCUGAUCCCCUAUUAGACACUGGUGGGUAUUCUUCUAAUAACACUGAGUCAGCUGUUCGUGAUAGUUUUGAUUUUCAGUCUGAUGAUGAUGAGGAUGCUGCUGAUGAUGAAGAAGAGCGAGGUAGCAUUGGUGACAAAAUUAGGAAUAGACUUGCAUCUUUGCUUCUACGAAUGCAAGCCAUCUUGCAUGUAUCUAAAUCAGCUACCCAGGAAAUAAUCAAUGAACUUCACGAAAUUGGAAUUUUAGCAGGUGACCUGUCAAAAAAAACUGCAGAAAACAUUUUUACAGAGCUCAGUUGUAAUAUAGAUGAGGCCACACUAAAGUUGUUAAAGGAAAGCUUACAGGAAACCAAUCCUUUUAGUUGUCUGUCACAGAGUGGACCACUGGGAACUGAAUACAAAAGACAGUUGUUUUACAAGGAAAGAUUCAACGUAAUUGAGCCAACUGAGUAUGUGUUAGAUCCUUUACUUAACAAAACAUUUGUUUAUGUUCCAAUUUCAGGUGUGUUGCCAGCAUUGUUGAACAAGUGUGAUGUAAUUGACAAAGUUUUAGAGGAAACAAAUCUACCAUCGCUCUCUGCUUGGUACCUGGAACACCUCAGAUGCUAUGAAGUCUGCAAGAACCACUCUGCAAAGCUGCUUGUAGUCCAGCCAGAGGAGCUCAAUGACUACUUCCCCCUGUCAGCGUAUAUGGUGAAAGGCAGACUUCUGAUCUCUCCAAAAGGGUUUCUGCUCCAUUGAGAUUCCAGUGUACAAAAUGUUGCUAAGAAUCAUUAUAAACAAGGAUGAUAUUAGGAAGAUACAAACUGACAGUGAGCCAGAGACUCUUGAUUCCUUUUAUUCUUUUUUGAAAUGCAAGCUUGGAUUGGGAGGUGACUUUGUAGUUCAAUUUCAAGAUCCAGACUUUGGCAAUGAGUUCUGCAACUUGUCAAGCUUGUCUGAACUUCCAAAAGAGAAGGCCACUUUAAAGGUAAUCCUCAAGCAAAUCCCCGAGUCCCCUCAGACUGACUCAACGUUGGACACGGCAAGUCUCUCGUCGCCCUCAUCAUCUUCCAUGGAGGACACUCCUUCCUGCCGUCGGCCAUGGCCUGACCCUUUUGUGAUUCCAAAAUUCUCAUACGAUGUGGAAUUGAAGCUUAAACGUGGUAAUGAAGCCUACCAGGAGAAUGGAACCCUUCUGAUUACAAAUAAAGACACUAAAUCUGAGAUACUUGAAAAAUUGGCUGAAGAAAUUUACAAAUACUCAGCAUACCCAUCUCGAGAGCAGUAUGACAUUGUUGCACAGAGCCUUGUUAAGAAACAUCCUUGCCUGAGAGAGCCUGGAUCUGUGAAGGGGUGGUACUGCUGGAAGUUCAGUUUAAAGUUUAAAAUGGGAAAUUACCGCAACAAGCUUCGUGUGUCUGGAUGUUCAGAGCUAACAGUGAAUCGCCGAAAUUCAGGACCAAAGCAGAAGCUCAAGAAAGCUAAAAAGUCUGAAGUCAACUUUCUUCCGGAUGUUCCUGAAGGCAAAACACAGAAUG